AAAAAAAAUGUGUUAUGGAUGGAAAAUAUAUAUUCAAAUUUCCUAAUUGUAAAUGUGUUGUGUUAAAGAAUAAAAGUUUAGUAUAAUGGAUAUCGGUAUCGUUAUACCAUAAUAGCAUCCUAUAAAGUUAUUACCGUUGGCGUAACAUACUUUGGUCUUGGUGUGGUCAUUUACAAGAAAGUGAAACGUUGGAAACUAAGUAAGAGAGUUUAAACUAUUUUCAAUAUUGCAAAAUAUUGAGAGAACUAUCUGCCCUUUCGCUGCCGAUUGUGUAAUAAUACAACUUAAUUAAUGAACGUGGUAGUGAGAUAAAUACACUAGCUGUGAUAAAGAGAA